GCCUUCAUAGUGUAACGGUAGCACAUUCCGCACGUAUUCAAGAGGUUCAGGUUCGAGUCCCGGCGAGGGCA
rnacentral:tRNA from 1 species